rnacentral:tRNA from 1 species
CAGAAAAUAGUUUAAGUAAAAUAUUAAUUUUGGAGAUUAAAGAUAAGAGGCUUCUUUUUUCUGA